rnacentral:rRNA from 1 species
UACAGAGGUCCCAAGCGUUGUUCGGAUUCACUGGGCGUAAAGGGUGCGUAGGCGGUGAGGUAAGUCGGAUGUGAAAUCCCGGGGCUCAACCCCGGAACUGCAUUCGAUACUGCUUUACUUGAGGACUGGAGAGGAGAUUGGAAUUCCCAGUGUAGAGGUGAAAUUCGUAGAUAUUGGGAAGAACACCGGUGGCGAAGGCGGCGACCUGGUCCUUGACUGACGCUGAGGCGCGAAAGCGUGGGGAGCAAACAGG